rnacentral:rRNA from 1 species
UUGCACGCUGGCGGCAGGCCUAACCCCUGCAAGUCGAACGGUAACAGGGAUCAGCUUGCUGAUUCGCUGACGAGUGGCGGACGGGUGAGUAAUGUCUGGGAAACUGCCUGAUGGAGGGGGAUAACUACUGGAAACGGUAGCUAAUACCGCAUAACGUCGCAAGACCAAAGAGGGGGACCUUCGGGCCUCUUGCCAUCGGAUGUGCCCAGAUGGGAUUAGCUAGUAGGUGGGGUAACGGCUCACCUAGGCGACGAUCCCUAGCUGGUCUGAGAGGAUGACCAGCCACACUGGAACUGAGACACGGUCCAGACUCCUACGGGAGGCAGCAGUGGGGAAUAUUGCACAAUGGGCGCAAGCCUGAUGCAGCCAUGCCGCGUGUAUGAAGAAGGCCUUCGGGUUGUAAAGUACUUUCAGCGGGGAGGAAGGGAGUAAAGUUAAUACCUUUGCUCAUUGACGUUACCAGCAGAAGAAGCACCGGCUAACUCCGUG